rnacentral:rRNA from 1 species
AUUGAACGCUGGCGGCAUGCUUUACACAUGCAAGUCGAACGGCAGCACGGGGGCAACCCUGGUGGCGAGUGGCGAACGGGUGAGUAAUAUAUCGGAACGUACCCGGAAAUGGGGGAUAACGUAGCGAAAGUUACGCUAAUACCGCAUAUGCCCGUAAGGGGGAAAGGCGGGGGAUUCGCAAGAACCUCGCGUUUUCGGAGCGGCCGAUAUCGGAUUAGCUAGUAGGUGAGGUAAAGGCUCACCUAGGCGACGAUCCGUAGCUGGUCUGAGAGGACGACCAGCCACACUGGAACUGAGACACGGUCCAGACUCCUACGGGAGGCAGCAGUGGGAAUUUUGGACAAUGGGCGCAAGCCUGAUCCAGCCAUGCCGCGUGAGUGAAGAAGGCCUUCGGGUUGGUUAAAGGACUUCUUUUCCAGCCGGAAAG